AUGACCUGAGCCGAAAUCAGACGCUCAACCGACUGAGCCACCCAGGUGCCCCGGAAAAUGCCAUCUUUUGACGUAACAAUAAAGCGUGGGUGUUUUUUGGGAGUUCUGCAUUCUUCCCCGGGGAUCUGUGCUCCUGUCCCUCCAUCAGUACCCCACUGUCUUGAAGAUUGUAGCUGUCAGUAAUCUUUCGUAGCAGGUAGAGUGAGAAUGUCGAGUCUUUCGACCGUGACCUGACUCAGUUUACCGUUCCCGCUAACGGGUCUGAUCUGUCUGAUCUCACGCCUGCCCCUGAGACCAGCUCUUCCUGUGGGAUUUACUUCCGUUCCUUCCUUUUCUGUGAAGCCUUUCUUGGUUCCCGCUGCUUCUUUUGAACCUUAAAGGUGAGGGUUCCUUCUCUCUUGAAUGCCCUGCACUCUGUAUCUUUGUCAUUCACUUGGACUUUCACACGUAAUCCCUUCUCUGUGCUCGCAUUCCCGAGUAGCGCUCUCGCCUUCUUCGUGUGGUGGAUUCCAGGUACCAGACGCCCAGGGUCCGGGAUGCAGUAGGUCCUUGGCGAAUGAUUCGUUGUCGGAGAGAAAGACUAAACCAGACUCCACUCCUACUUCGGGAAGGCAUACGUGCGCGGUCGUAAGGGGGCAAAAGUACGCACGUGUCCUUUCGUUGCCGGUUUGCCAGAGGUCCCUGACACCACAUUGGUGCAAAGCGAAGUCUUCCCGGAUCGACAAGCUGAUCCAGGCUCUCUCUGUGUGUUUCAGGUUGGUUUAUUUAUUUUGAGACCCCGAGAGAGGGUACGAGCCCGGGAGGAGCGGAGAGAGAAUCGCAAGCCGGCCCCUCGCUGUCGGCGCGGGGCUUGAACCCCGGACCGUGAGAUCGUGACCUGAGCCGAAAUCAAGAGCGGGACGCUUCACCGACUGAGCCGCCCAGAUGCCUCUCGGGGCUCUGGGCUUAAGCAGGACCUGGAGUGGUUGUAAUAAUUAUUGGUAGCACCCAGCUGCAUAACAAAUGACCCCCAAAUCCCCGUGGCUUACCACAAACCCUGAUGCCUCACCCUUGGAUGCUUGUGGCUUCUCGGCUGCAGCCUAGGGGUUGGAUUGAGGUCAGCUCCAUGCAUCUCUCAUUCCAGAGUCCCACGCGAAGCUGCAGCAGCUACCUGGAGGCACGUUCUUCUCCUGGCGACGGCAGGGGUUCAGGAGGCCAGGCCCAAACGAGGAAGCGCGUUUGAAAACCUCCGACUGGAUCCUGUUGACUUCGGUUCCAUCGACCAAAGUUCUCCUCACUGCUCCUCCUGGGAACAGAGUCUGGGGGGAGCCAGUGUGUUCCAGAAGAGUCAGCACAGUCCGAGGGAGAGAUCGGCCCUCUGGCAGCAGCCAGCCGAUGAGAACCAAUUAUACACAUCUCUUCCCAACUCUGCAGCGGGUGAUGUCGAGAGCUUGAAAUCUGACCACACUGGGAGUAUUUACACCACAGGAAUCGGCGAGCGCUACAGACGGGCCUUCCCCACCCCGGGAGAGCCAGUUGUUAAAUAUUUACCAGCACAUCGCUGCUGCUGAGGGACAGGUCUGUGCCAUCAGAACCUUAGAAGUGCCUUUCUCGAGAUUUCUUGGAAAUCUCCUCCCUGCCAGGGAGGGAGGGAAGUGACCGAAUCUGUAAGAGGCCGGCCCUAUCUAGCGCUUUCUAUUGAGCACAUGAUUGUCAUUCAUCACCUGAAAAGGUUAUAAAUCUCCCCGGUGUUGAACAGCUCCAGAAUGAAUGAAAUGGAAUUAAAUGUGCAGGCACGCACAAGCUCACGCCUGGCACGGAGCCCAACACGGGGCUUGAACUCACAACCCGGAGAUCAAGACCUGAGCUGAGAUCAGGAGUCGGACGCUUAACCGACUGAGCCGCCCAGGUGCCCGUCCUUCUGUAUUUUCAUUCAGCAGAUCUCUUUCGAGCGCCCGACUUGCGCGGGGCACCGUGCCCCCAUGACUCCCUAGGUCCCAGCGCGGGCAGCCUUGCCCAGUUGUGGCUUCUGGUCUCACCUAUGUGAUCUGCGACCUGAGGGCAGGAUUUGGGUCGUCUACUCCCCGAUCCCCUGCCCUACCUUCAAAAAGCCCGUCAUUAAUUCUUGCGGGAGCUGCCACCCCUCCCCCCCCCCCCCCCCAUCCUUUGGCAUGGUGUUGGCAAUCUCUUAAGGAGAAAAGAAUAAUUUCGUCUCCUGUCACGUAGCAAAAUCAAAGCUUUUGGCAAGCACGAAGCCUGGGAGGCCUUUACCGCCACACAUAUAAUUAGAACUUUGGGCUAAACCCAUCCCAGAGGAGCAAAACAUUACAUUUUAAGGCACAUGCUUUUGGAUUUAUUUAUUUAAAAAAAAAAAAAAAAUUUUUUUUUUUUUUUUUUCCGAAAAAGCCGUUCGUUCCCUUCCUUCCCUCGGAUGACAUCACGCCUGAACACAGCACACGGCUCUCCAUCACUUUAAAGGGGGAGCGCUUUGCAUGCCGUCUUUCCCUUCAAACCCUUACGAACCAGACCUUCCCUGGGAGCCCCGGGAUGGGCAUUUUCCUUCAGGUACAAGGAUCAUUACAAGGCAAGCAUUCUUAAACCGGGUCUGCUCCCAACACAGCAUUUCCACAUAUGGAUAUUAAUUUAUGUGAUCACUUGAAUACAAACGCUCGGCUGUCUCCAUAAGUUAUAGAAGCAAUCAUCCCAGGGAGCAUCGGAGACACCGAGAGUCAAUUCCUGUGUAAUAAUUUCAUAUUCGAGCCAGGGAUGCCAAAUCACGGCCCCUUUGGAUAAAAUGUGAGCCUGUGGAAACACUCCCCUCCCCCUUUUUAUUAUUGUGCAUUUUAUUUCUCCAUAAAAUACGUUUAUGCCCUGGAAAAACAAACCAACCCAGGGGGCCAGGCUGACAGCGUGAUGCAGGGGGUGCUCUGCCGGGAAGCUUCUGACUCAGCCACUAGCAAGCGCGGGCGAUGAGGGAGUGUGUCCGUGAGCUGCUGAGAAAGCCCUCCUGGGGCCAAACCUUGAGGGGGCAGGCAGCCAAAGAUCGCCAAGCCUUGGAACAGAAAAUCACCGAGCCUUGGAAUGGAAGAAGGUCAUCUGGCCCCGCUUCCCAUCUUGGUGGGAAGCCUCUUUUUCCUUUUUUUUUUUUUUUUUUUUUUUUAUACAGCUUUAUUGAGAUAUAAUUCACAUACCAUAUAAUCCACCCACUUAACGUGUACAUUUCAGUGAGUUUUAGUGCAUUCCCACAGAAAUGCAACCGUCACCACUUUUUAUCAUCCCCAAAAGAAACCCCAUCCUCAUUAGCAGUCGCUCCCCAUUUCCCCGCAACCCCUCCGCAGCCUUGGGCAACGACUCAUCUACUUUCUGUUUCUGUAGGUUUGCCUGUCGUGCAGAUUUCGUAUAAACGAAACCACGCAGCAUGCGUCUUUCGUGACUGGCUUCCUCCACUUAGCGUGAUGUUUCUGUUUUUCAUUGCUCUUGGGUAUGUACCUAGGAGCAGAAUUGUUGGGUCCUACGAUGACUCUGUGUUUAGCUUUAUUGAGAAACAGCCAGACAAGUUGCCGCAGUGGUUGCCCCAUUUUGUAGCCUCACCAGCGGUGUAUGUGACUUCUGUUCCCCCCACGUUUUUUGAUUUGAGAAAUUGUGGUCAAAUACAUGUAACAUAAAAC